rnacentral:rRNA from 1 species
AUUGAACGCUGGCGGCAGGCCUAACACAUGCAAGUCGAGCGGAUGAAGGGAGCUUGCUCCUGGAUUCAGCGGCGGACGGGUGAGUAAUGCCUAGGAAUCUGCCUGGUAGUGGGGGAUAACGUCCGGAAACGGGCGCUAAUACCGCAUACGUCCUGAGGGAGAAAGAGGGGGAGCUUCGGACCUCACGCUAUCAGAUGAGCCUAGGUCGGAUUAGCUAGUUGGUGGGGUAAAGGCCUACCAAGGCGACGAUCCGUAACUGGUCUGAGAGGAUGAUCAGUCACACUGGAACUGAGACACGGUCCAGACUCCUACGGGAGGCAGCAGUGGGGAAUAUUGGACAAUGGGCGAAAGCCUGAUCCAGCCAUGCCGCGUGUGUGAAGAAGGUCUUCGGAUUGUAAAGCACUUUAAGUUGGGAGGAAGGGCAGUAAGUUAAUACCUUGCUGUUUUGACGGUACCAACAGAAUAAGCACCGGCUAACUUCGUG